AAGAGGAGGCCUCAGAUCAGAAGGAAUCAAUUAUCCCGUCAACAUCAUCAUCAAGUAUCUUCCGUUAUUCCGGUAUUUUCUAAUCAACAAUCAACAUCAGUUCAACAACAACAACGUCAACAACAACAACCGCAACAACGAGCAAACACCUACAUCAACAACAAUACCAACAACAAUCAUCAUCAACAAAACUUUGAGAGGAAGAAGGUCUCUUU
rnacentral:lncRNA from 1 species